UGGGGAAUAUUGGACAAUGGGCGCAAGCCUGAUCCAGCCAUGCCGCGUGAGUGAUGAAGGCCCUAGGGUUGUAAAGCUCUUUCACCGGUGAAGAUAAUGACGGUAACCGGAGAAGAAGCCCCGGCUAACUUCGUGCCAGCAGCCGCGGUAAUACGAAGGGGGAUAGCGUUGUUCGGAUUUACUGGGCGUAAAGCGCACGUAGGCGGACUUUUAAGUCAGGGGUGAAAUCCCGGGGCUCAACCCCGGAACUGCCUUUGAUACUGGAAGUCUUGAGUAUGGUAGAGGUGAGUGGAAUUCCGAGUGUAGAGGUGAAAUUCGUAGAUAUUCGGAGGAACACCAGUGGCGAAGGCGGCUCACUGGACCAUUACUGACGCUGAGGUGCGAAAGCGUGGGGAGCAAACAGG
rnacentral:rRNA from 1 species